UCUUCUGAUCUAAGUCAUAACCAGUUUUAUUGCAAAAGGACCCUGUACGCAUUUAUCAAUUCUAGU